rnacentral:rRNA from 1 species
GACGAACGCUGGCGGCGUGCCUAAUACAUGCAAGUUGAGCGCUGAAGGUUGGUACUUGUACCGACUGGAUGAGCAGCGAACGGGUGAGUAACGCGUGGGGAAUCUGCCUUUGAGCGGGGGACAACAUUUGGAAACGAAUGCUAAUACCGCAUAAAAACUUUAAACACAAGUUUUAAGUUUGAAAGAUGCAAUUGCAUCACUCAAAGAUGAUCCCGCGUUGUAUUAGCUAGUUGGUGAGGUAAAGGCUCACCAAGGGGAUGAUACAUAGCCGACCUGCGAGGGUGGGCGGCCACAUUGGGACUGAGACACGGCCCAAAGUCCUUGGGGAGGCAGCAGUAGGGAAUCGUCGGCAAUGGACGAAAGUCUGACCGAGCAACGCCGCGUGAGUGAAGAAGGUUUUCGGAUCGUAAAACUCUGUUGGUAGAGAAGAACGUUGGUGAGAGUGGAAAGCUCAUAAAGUGACGGUAACUACACAGAAAGGGACGGCUAACUACGUG